GUGUUCACUUUGGCAGCACAUAUAUUAAAAUUGGGACAAUGCAGAAAAGAUAAACAUGGCUCCUGCAAAAGUAUGAGAUGCAAGUUUUGAAAUGGUCCAUGUUUUU
ensembl:snRNA U6 U6 spliceosomal RNA